CGGCCUGAGAGGGUGAACGGCCACAUUGGGACUGAGACACGGCCCAAACUCCUACGGGAGGCAGCAG
rnacentral:rRNA from 1 species